rnacentral:rRNA from 1 species
GGCCGCAGUAUAUUGACUGUGCAAAGGUAGCAUAAUCAUUAGUUUUUUAAUUGAAAGCUUGUAUGAAAGGUUGGACGAGGUAAAUUCUGUCUCUAUCUAAAUUAGUUUAGAAUUUAAUUUUUAAGUUAAAAAGCUUAAAUGUUAAUAAAAGACGAGAAGACCCUAUAGAGCUUUAUAAUUUGUUAAAUAGAAUUAAUUUAGUAAUAUUGAUUUUUUAUUUUUUAGAUUAUUUUAUUGGGGUAAUAGAAAGAUUAAAUUAAUUCUUUUUUUUUAUGGACAUAAAUAUAUGGUUUUAAUGAUCCAAUUUUAUUGAUUAUAAGAUUAAGUUACCUUAGGGAUAACAGCGUAAUUUUUUUAGAGAGUUCAUAUCGAUAAAAAAGUUUGCGACCUCGAUGUUGGAUUAAAGAUUAUUUUAGGUGUAGGAGCUUAAUAAUUUUGGUCUGUUCGACCAUUAAAUCUUUACAUGAUCUGAGUUCAGACCGGUGUAAGCCAGGUCGGUUUCUAUCUUUAUAAAAUUAUGAUAUUUUAGUACGAAAGGACCAAAUAUUGGGUAUAGUGAUAUUUUAUGAUUGUGAAUAUUAUUAAGAUAUUGCUUUGGCAGAUUAGUGCAAUGAAUUUAGAAUUCAUUUAUGUAAGGAAUUUUACAGGUAAUACUUGUUUUAUAUAGAUGUAAUAUUUUCAUUAAUUUGUAUAAUUUUAUUAGUUAUUUGUGUUCUUGUGGGGGUUGCAUUUUUGACUUUAUUGGAACGUAGGG